CCUACGGGAGGCUGCAGUGGGGAAUAUUGGACAAUGGGGGGAACCCUGAUCCAGCCAUGCCGCGUGUGUGAAGAAGGCCCUCGGGUUGUAAAGCACUUUCUGUGAGGAAGAACGCCUGGUGGUUAAUACCCAUCAGGAAAGACAUCACUCACAGAAGAAGCACCGGCUAACUCCGUGCCAGCAGCCGCGGUAAUACGGCGGGUGCGAGCGUUAAUCGGAAUUACUGGGCGUAAAGCGCGCGUAGGUGGCUUGAUAAGCCGGUUGUGAAAGCCCCGGGCUCAACCUGGGAACGGCAUCCGGAACUGUCAAGCUAGGGUGCAGGAGAGGAAGGUAGAAUUCCCGGUGUAGCGGUGAAAUGCGUAGAGAUCGGGAGGAAUACCAGUGGCGAAGGCGGCCUUCUGGACUGACACUGACACUGAGGUGCGAAAGCGUGGGUAGCAAACAGGAUUAGAUACCCCAGUAGUC
rnacentral:rRNA from 1 species